AUUUAUAUAGUUUAUGAAAACAUUUCAUUUUCAAUGAAAAAAUAGGAAUAUUUCCUUAUAAAUA
rnacentral:tRNA from 1 species